rnacentral:rRNA from 1 species
UCGGGAAUUUUGGGCAAUGGGCGGAAGCCUGACCCAGCAACGCCGCGUGAGGGAUGAAGUAUUUCGGUAUGUAAACCUCGAAAGAAUGGGAAGAAUAAAUGACGGUACCAUUUAUAAGCUCCGGCUAACUACGUGCCAGCAGCCGCGGUAAUACGUAGGGAGCAAGCGUUGUUCGGAUUUACUGGGCGUAAAGGGCGCGUAGGCGGCGCGGUAAGUCACUUGUGAAAUCUCUGAGCUUAACUCAGAACGGCCAAGUGAUACUGCUGUACUAGAGUGCGGAAGAGGCAACCGGAAUUCUUGGUGUAGCUGUGAAAUGCGUAGAUAUCAAGAGGAACACCAGAGGCGAAGGCGGGUUGCUGGGCCGACACUGACGCUGAUGCGCGAAAGCCAGGGGAGCAAACG